rnacentral:pre_miRNA from 2 species
AAUGGAAUUGCUGGGUCAUAUGGUAAUUCCAUGUUUAACUUUUUCAGAAACUGCCAAGCUGUUUUCCACAGUGACUGUACCAUUUUACAUUUCCACUAGCAAU